GACGAACGCUGGCGGCGUGCUUAACACAUGCAAGUCGAACGGAAAGGCCCUGCUUUUUUGGGGUGCUCGAGUGGCGAACGGGUGAGUAACACGUGAGUAACCUGCCCUUGACUUUGGGAUAACUUCAGGAAACUGGGGCUAAUACCGGAUAGGAGCUCCUGCUGCAUGGUGGGGGUUGGAAAGUUUCGGCGGUUGGGGAUGGACUCGCGGCUUAUCAGCUUGUUGGUGGGGUAGUGGCUUACCAAGGCUUUGACGGGUAGCCGGCCUGAGAGGGUGACCGGCCACAUUGGUACUGAGAUACGGCCCAGACUCCUACGGGAGGCAGCAGUGGGGAAUAUUGCACAAUGGGCGGAAGCCUGAUGCAGCAACGCCGCGUGCGGGAUGACGGCCUUCGGGUUGUAAACCGCUUUCGCCUGUGACGAAGCGGGAGUGACGGUAAUGGGUAAAGAAGCACCGGCUAACUACGUG
rnacentral:rRNA from 1 species